GAAAUGCGAUAAGUAAUGUGAAUUGCAGAAUUCAGUGAAUCAUCGAAUCUUUGAACGCACCUUGCGCUCCUUGGUAUUCCUUGGAGCAUGCCUGUUCGAGUAUCAUGAAAUCUUCAAAGUAAAUCUUUUGUUAACUCAAUUGGUUUCUACUUUGGUAUUGGAGGUCUUUGCAGCUUCACACCUGCUCCUCUUUGUUCAUUAGCUGGAUCUCAGUGUUAUGCUUGGUUCCACUCGGCGUGAUAAGUUAUCUAUCGCUGAGGACACUGUAAAAGGUGGCCAAGGUAAAUGCAGAUGAACCGCUUCUAAUAGUCCAUUGACUUGGACAAUACUUUUAUGAUCUGAUCUCAAAUCAGGUAGGACUACCCGCUGAACUUAUGC
rnacentral:misc_RNA from 1 species